rnacentral:lncRNA from 1 species
UUUACUUAUGCAACUGUUUGCAGUCCUUUGGUUGCUCCUUCUCUCAGUGUCAUGCAAAACUUUGCAGAAAUGACCUGUGAAUUUGAUCCAAAGAAUGUAUCAUUGCUACUCAAGGGACAUGCUAUGUACAGAAACAAGACUAUGACGAAUGCACACUUGCCGAUUGCUGGAUUUCAAUCAGAGCUGCUAACAGUGUGGUCCUUUGUCCAGUGCCUGUCUGCAAACUACUGGCUACCCAUCCAUGGUGGCCGAGUGCCAAGGAGAAACCACUUGUAGAUGGUCUGUUUAAUGGCUCCAAAGUCAGGAUGCAGCAUCCGCAGUCAGCCUUCCCAGCCCAGGCUUGUGAGAAGAAAUGCCACCUUGGAAGUGACCCUCCAGUGUCUGCUGUCCAUGAGGCAUCACUCUCCAUUAGAGAUGAAUCACUCAACUAAACGCAUCCUGAAUUCUUCAUCUACAAAGUUGUGAACAAAAUAAAAUGACCUUUUAUUUAAAGCCAUUGAGUUUGGAUGUAGUUUGGUACGAUAUGAAACUAGAAUACUUGGUAAAGACAAAUGUUAGUUCUUGGGAUCCAAGACUCUAAGAGUGAACAUAUUUCAUCGCAGGAGGAAAGAUGUAAGGGACUCUAGUCUUACAUCUUGGGUUCACUAUUUCUGUGUCACGUGGUCUUCACAUACUUCUCAUUUCUUACUAUCUAGGCAGUUCAGUGAACUAAUUUCUUAAUUUAGUGUUUUACCUGAGUAUUGUUUUCCAGCUUCAAAAUGGCUUUAUAAAAUGCAG